ensembl:lncRNA
CUCAUUUAAAACUCACAACACUUACCUUGUUGUCCAGUGGCUAAGAUUUCAUGCUCCCAAUGCAGGGGGCCCUGGUCUGAUACCUUUUCAGGAAACUAGAUCCCACAGGAUGGAACUAAAGGUCUCACAUGUUGCAACAAAGGCCCAGCACAGCCAAAAUAAGUAAAUAAAUAAAACUCACAACAGACGUAUGGGGAGUUACCGUCAUCCCACUUUACAGGAGCAGCAGCUGUGUGGUGCAGGAUCUGCCCAGAGGAGCUACCCCACGUCCAAGGUCAGGAGCAGCAGCUGUGCUUUGCUGGAGCAGCCAUGAAGAGAGACACCUUUCCAGCAGUGACUAUAUUUGCCCUCUGAGAAGCCUUGAAUGGUCGAAAUGAAGUGAUGAUCAGUCCUGAUUUCAUCCUUGUGGGACCAUGCUAGCUCUUUUCUGCUCUCAUUAAAGUGCUGUGCUCCUCCUCUCCCCUGCCCUGCCCCAUGAGGAAGAGACAAGGAUGGAUGGAACCAGAGUGUAGGGAAGGAUUUUCUCAUAAUUCAAAAGCCCAUGAAGAUCUCUAGACUACCAGGUCAUGACCUUCUCUUGGAUGGUCUUUCUUCCAAACUGGGGAGACAGUCCAGCCUUGUGAUUUCUCUGAAAAACUUCAAAAAUACUGUGUCUAUACCUGUGAUGGAUUCAUUUUGAUAUUUGGCAAAACUAAUACAAUUAUGUAAAGUUUAAAAAUAAAAUAAAAUUUAAAAA